GACGGAGGAUGCAAGCGUUAUCCGGAAUGAUUGGGCGUAAAGCGUCCGCAGGUGGCAGUUCAAGUCUGCGGUCAAAGACCGGGGCUUAACUUCGGAAAGGCAGUGGAAACUGAACAGCUAGAGUAUGGUAGGGGCAGAGGGAAUUCCUGGUGUAGCGGUGAAAUGCGUAGAUAUCAGGAAGAACAUCGGUGGCGAAGGCGCUCUGCUGGACCAUAACUGACACUCAGGGACGAAAGCUAGGGGAGCGAAUGGG
rnacentral:rRNA from 1 species